rnacentral:rRNA from 1 species
CCUACGGGCGGCAGCAGUGGGGAAUAUUGCACAAUGGGCGCGAGCCUGAACCAGCCAAGUCGCGUGAAGGAUGACUGUCUUAUGGAUUGUAAACUUCUUUUGUAGGGGAAUAAAGAAUGGUACGUGUACCAUAGUGAAUGUACCCUACGAAUAAGCAUCGGCUAACUCCGUGCCAGCAGCCGCGGUAAUACGGAGGAUGCGAGCGUUAUCCGGAUUUAUUGGGUUUAAAGGGUGCGUAGGCGGCCUGUUAAGUCAGCGGUGAAAUCUAGGGGCUUAACUCCUAAAUUGCCAUUGAUACUGGUGGGCUUGAGUGUAGAUGAGGUAGGCGGAAUGCGUGGUGUAGCGGUGGAAUGCAUAGAUAUCACGCAGAACUCCAAUUGCGAAGGCAGCUUACUAAGGUACAACUGACGCUGAAGCACGAAAGCGUGGGUAUCAAACAGGAUUAGAUACCCCAGUAGUC